CUUCAGCUGCAGCAAAGCCCCUGAGAUGAUGCCCAGCUCGUAGCCAAAGACCAGCCCACCCAGAGCCGACACCACGCAGGCCAGAGGGAGGACGGAGGAACCUGGGAGCGAGGAACACAGAAGGGCACUCUGAGUGGCAGUUGUGCAUCAGUGGCUGAAGCCACUUUCAAACACAUUCAACCCUAUAUAUUAAAACAAAAUGGGAAACAGAUGUCUGUGUAGGUUCUCAGUCAUCCAGGUCAUCUUAUCCAAAAAAUAGUUAUCAUCGAGGGCAACCGGACGGAGUAGGUUUCUUGAAGACGUUUCACGUCUCAUCCAAGAGGCUUCUUCAGUUCAGACUGACUACUGGGAAGUUCACAGAAGAGCCAGUACAUUUCCUCACCAGAGGUCUGAGAGAGUGGAGAAACCAUCUCUCAAUAGAGGAGGUGGAUUAAGACACAACCUUUCAUCCACCUAUAAUGUUGUCAAUAUAGAAAAUUCCAAACCUCUCCCUGAAAACAAGACCAGGAGUGGUCAACAGUUUGGAAAUAUCAAUGGAAAUGUAGCAGUUGACAGCAGUUGGAGAGAGUUCGGCAACAAGACUCUCACGAGAAGAUGUCUUCCACGGGAGAACCUGGUUCGUCCGGUAUUGCUGUGAAUCCAUAAUUAAUGCAAUUUAUUUUUGUAGCACGUUAAAAGUUUGUAGCGUGUGUCAGAGAGCGGGAGGUGAAGUGUUGAAAAUGAAGCUCCGAGAAAGUAGGAACAUAAAAUGAAAUU